GAGCUAAUACAUGCGAAAACGCUCGACUCACGAAGAGAUGCUUUUAUUAGAUCAAACCAAACUGCUUUGGCAGUACCCAUUGGUGACUCUGAAUAACUUUCAGCUGAUCGCAUUGCCUUGUGCAGGCGACAUUUCCUGUGAAGGUGUGCCCUAUCAACUGUCGACUGUGAUAUAGACGCUCACAGUGGUUUUGACGGGUAACGAGGAAUCUGGGUUCGAUUUCGGAGAGGGAGCCUUAAAAACGGCUACCACGUCCUAGGAAGGCAGCAGGCACGCAAAUUACCCAAUUAUCGAAGAUAGAGGUAGUGACGAAAAAUAACAAUACAAGACUCUUCCGAGGCCUUGUAAUUGGAAUGAGUACACUUUAAAACCGUUUCACGAGGAUCCAUUGGAGGGCAAGUCUGGUGCCAGCAGCCGCGGUAAUUCCAGCUCCAAUAGUGUAUAUUAAUGUUGUUGUGGUUAAAAAGCUCGUAGUUGGAUUUCGGCGGGUAGUGGCUGGUUCGAAUUGAUUCGACACUGGCUUUUUUACCCGUGUGUUUGGCCACAACCUUGCGGGUGCUCUUAAUCGAGUGUCCGUCGGGGGUGGCAGGUCUACUUUGAAAAAAUUAGAGUGCUCAAAGCAGGCUUUAUGCUUGAAUAUUCGUGCAUGGAAUAAUAGAAUAGGAGGUCAUUUCUAUUUUGUUGGUUUUUAAGUUUUGACUUAAUGAUUAAUAGGGACAAACGGGGGCAUUUGUAUUCAGACGACAGAGGUGAAAUUCUUGGACCGUCUGAAGACUGACUACU
rnacentral:rRNA from 1 species